AUUGAACGCUGGCGGCAUGCCUUACACAUGCAAGUCGAACGGUAACGGGUCCUUCGGGAUGCCGACGAGUGGCGAACGGGUGAGUAAUAUAUCGGAACGUGCCCAGUAGUGGGGGAUAACUGCUCGAAAGAGCAGCUAAUACCGCAUACGACCUGAGGGUGAAAGGGGGGGAUCGCAAGACCUCUCGCUAUUGGAGCGGCCGAUAUCAGAUUAGCUAGUUGGUGGGGUAAAGGCCUACCAAGGCAACGAUCUGUAGUUGGUCUGAGAGGACGACAAGCCACACGGGGAAUGAGACACGGCCCAGACUCCUACGGGAGGCAGCAGUGGGGAAUUUUGGACAAUGGGCGCAAGCCUGAUCCAGCAAUGCCGCGUGCAGGAAGAAGGCCUUCGGGUUGUAAACUGCUUUUGUCAGGGAAGAAAUCUUCUGGGCUAAUACCCCAGGAGGAUGACGGUACCUGAAGAAUAAGCACCGGCUAACUACGUGCCAGCCGCCGCCGUAACAC
rnacentral:rRNA from 1 species